rnacentral:rRNA from 1 species
ACGCUAAGAGACGAAAGCGAAGGAAACGCCCAGGAAUAGAGACCCGGGUAGUCCGAGCCCUAGACGAUGGAUGCUGGAUGCGGGGCCAGAGCGCUCCGAGUCGAAGCGAACGCGCUAAGCAUCCCGCGUGGGGAAUACGGCCGCUAGGAGAAGACUCCGGGGACUCGACGGGACCCCGCACCAGCAGCGGAAGCGUGAGGUCUAAUUGGAGGCUACUCGAAGGACCUGACAUGGAGUCUGACAUCUAGGUGGAAACGAAGCGUAAACCGGAGCGACCAUUCGGGGAGCGUAGACAGGUGUUCGCAUGGCUGUCGUCAGCUCGUCCCGUGAGUGUGUCGGGUUAAGUCCAGUAACGAUGCGCAACCCUUGCCGUCCGAUAUACGUGUCUGAGGCGGACUCCCGCCGGUAAGCCGGAGAGAAGAUGGGCAUAACAUCUAGUCUGCAUGCGCUUCAUAUCCAGGGGUACACACACGCGACACUGGCCAGGACACAGGGCAACGACACUGCGAGAUGGAGCGCAUCUCUGCAAAGCUGGUCGUAGUUCGGAUUGCAGUCUGCAACCCGCCUGCAUGAAGUUGGAGUUGCUAGUAACCGCGCGUCAGCCAUAGUGCGGUGAAUACGUUCCCGGGCUUUGUACACACCGCCCGUCACAUCAUGGGAGU